AGUGCAUCUUGCUUCCCAUUAACAUAGAAUUCCACAAUCGCUUUCAUUCUUGGAAGCUUAUCAGGGUGGUAAUUCACGUGAACAAUUACAGGCUUGAUCUUGAUCCAGUUAGCAUCUUUCCUCACAGUUUUGAAAAGGACUUUGCUGUUCAUGAAGAGAUAGAAAUCCAUCGUUCUCCUGGAAGCAUGAAGUCCAUCAUACCCAGGAUGCGAAGGGAAAAAGAGUUCCUCAUUGAAAACUGCCUGGUCCCAGGCCUUCUCACGAGAGAGCCUAUUGGCUACACGAUCCAAAAGCUCGAUUGAAGGAUUUGUUGCUCUAAGGUAGAAAAAGCCAGAGUUGUAAACCCAUAUCCUCAUUGUAUGAGCAUAUCGAGCCCAACCCAUUGGAGGCUCAUCGAAGACAUCAUCAUAACCAUAUGCUGUUAAAUUGUUAUGACCAUCAGUCAUGGAUUCCACAUCUGAAUCCCGAUAAAGGUAAUCAAAAGGGUUUUGCAAAUACACAAUAUCAGCAUCUGAGAGAAGAACACUAUAUCCCAACUGCAAGAACUCUCUCAAGAUACGAAAUUUCAAUGCUGAGACAGCAUGGUUGCCUCCAGUCUUUCCUACUGAAUCAAUUCCUUCAUCUGGAUCUCUCUUAUACACAGGAACAUCAUUGGAUUCACAAAAGUUAGCAAUCUCAUCAUCCAAAGCAACAACCAAAUAAUUGGGUAUACCCACUUUCUUGAUGCUAUUAAACCAAACUUCCAGCAUUUCUUUUACAUUAGAAUUUGCUAAAGCAACUAUAAUUUCUCUUUGAACAGCAACUUUCUCUAGUGUCUUUGCUAAUCUUGGAUUCACAGAUUCAUCUGGGAUAAUUGUUGGAUUGGUUCUCAAACUCUUAACGGUGCCAAAAGGCCCAGCUUUAUGCUGUUCACCCAACACCACUACUUGCUCCUCUGCUUGAUCUUUCCCCUGUCUAGCCCAUCUAAGUUUUUCAGUCAGCUCCUUAACCUGUUUCUUCAAAUCGACAUUCUUCUUUGAUGCUGCUGCAAACUCUGCUUUCAACAUGUUCAGCCUCUCAGACGAUUCACAUGGUGUUGAUACCACCUGGGCAAUGGAAUUGGAGAGGUGGGGAGAGUGAAAAUUAGGAUUGGAAAGAAAGAAUCCGUGAGGGAAAA
rnacentral:misc_RNA from 1 species